GCAUAGAUAAAUAGAUAGACAGUUCGUGCAUUUCAUGGGUACGUAUACUAGUAUAUUUUAAAAGAAAAAGUAAAGUUAAAAGUGUGAAGAGGACUGUCAAACGUAAAGAAAAGAAAAAAUUGGGGCUGUUCUCGUAUUGAAGGGGGUAUUGGUGCCAUACAUAAUUUCAAUUCGCUGUCCAUUCCCAGUUCUGAUCGCCCUCCAUCCUAGGGUUUGGUUUGUCUAUCAAUUCAUUGUUAUGUCGUCACCGUCACCUUCACCGCCACCGCCAUCGCUACCAGAAAGGACACCGGCUGAGAUCUGAAUCCAGACAUCUGAUUUCUCGAAUGAAUUAUUGGAAUCCUCGAAUGAAUCUGAUUUGGAGCCGUCCGUGAAGAAGAAAAAGGUUAAUGAGGAGGAGGAGGAGGGUGAUGCAUCGAGCAACUACGUAAGAUUGGAUCCUUUACCAAUGGAGCAUGAUUAUGAGAACUGUUGCUGCAAGCUUAAUAUGCCAGAUUCAGAUGAUGAGAAUGUGAUAGAUAAAGAAUGCUGGAACAAGUAUCUCCAACAACUCAAUGAGAGUGAGUUAAUAGUGUUCCAAUAUGCUCGCGUAUGUCAGAACUGCGGGAAAGAUUGAUUCUGCUUGGGAUUUGACAUUAAAGAUUAUCCUGGUCAUUUUCCAGCAACUGCCGUAUUCCCCAGUCCAAACUACUUGAAAAUUCCUGAGAAUCUGCACUUAAGAUUCUAAGAGCUACAAUAAGAGAUUUGGAACUAAAUAUGAGGUCAAUGAGAUUCUCAAGGUUAAUCGAGAUGAGUGCGGCACAUACUUAAUUUUCUAUCUUACCUUUACGGUUACAAAUGGCGAGAAGGAAUAUUUUCAAGCUAAGGUGGUGAGGCGUAUGGGUGGAUCUUUGUGUUUCUUAAUCGUUAGGCCAAGGGUAAUGAAUGAAAUCUGCUAUACAUGCUGCAUCACAUUAUGAAGCUCAUUUUUGUUUUGUCAAGUUCAUCUAGUAAUUCGUUCUUCCUUUGGUUUAUUUUUAAUUCUUAUACUAACUCUCUCUUGUGCUUUUAUUUUGGCGAAUAGAGCUUUGGGCAUAUAGUGGAUGUGAAGGCUCUGCAUCGUUUUGGCUCAGGUUCAAGCUUUAGUUUUGCGUUAACAGCUCUUGUCAGUGUUGGACACUGUUUCUAGUAAAUUGUGGCUUUGUUUUAAGUUAGUUUGUCAUCAUGGUUCAGUUGCUAGUAAAAAUCGAGGAGUUGGAGAUUUUUUAAACAUAUAUGAGCGAAAUACUAAAAAAUGAGGAUUUUUUUGAGAUUUUCUGUGUGUUAACUUAUGGAUCAAUAGGGGGUUCGAUCGUCGGAGUGCGUUUUGAGCAAACUUUCUUGGGCCCUCACCUAACAACUAAUUAAAUGUAACGUUUUUUUUGUGGGGGGGGGGGGGGGGGGGGGGGGGGGGGUUUUUUUUUUGCCAUAUGAGCAAAAUGCUAAAAACUAAGGAUUUUUGGGAAUUUUUUGUUUGUGUUAAUUAGCAUAUGGAUUGUGUUGGUUUGGGGGGUUGGCGGAGAUUUUUUAAGCCAUAUGAGCGAAAUUUGAAAAACUAAAGAUUUUUUUGUGAUUUUUCAUAUGUGGUAGCCUAUAAGGGGUCCUAUCGUUGGAGUGCAUUUUGAGCAAAAUUUCUUGGGCGCGCCCAUUACAACUUAUUAAUGGACCGUGUUGGUAUGGGGGGUAGGGGAGUGGUAGAACGAGGUUUUUUAAUCCAUAUAAGCGAUAUACGAAACACUGAAUAUUCUUUUGCGAUUUAUUGUGUGUGUUAGCCUAUGGAUCGAUGGGGUUUGCAAUCGCCAAAGUGAAUUUUGGGCAAAACUUCUUUGGGACACUCCUGACGACCUAUUACAUCGAUCGUGUUGUUUAGGGGGUAACUCGAGGUUUUUUUAAGCCAUAUGAAUGAAAUAGGUAAAAAUGAAAAUUCUCAUCUGUCGGAUUGAUAAUUGAUCUGUCCGUAUAUAGGUUGGAUCGAUAAUCAAUUUGUCGGAUUGAUAAUCGAUCCGUCCAUAUAUAGGUUGGAUCGACAAUUGAUUUAUCGGAUCGGCAAUCGAUCUAUCUAUAUAACGAUCGGAUAGAUAGUAGAUCUGUCUAAAAAAUAAGUCAUUUCCCUAGAAGAAGAAAAAAAAAGAGAGAAAUAAAGAGAAAAAAUUGUAAUCUGUUUAAUUUAAAGAAGACUUGGAAAGGCCAAAGAUCCCCGUCUUUUAUUCCAACCCAAAUCUGUACAAAAAAAAAAAGGUCCAGUCCAAACAAAAACGGGAGGCCAUUUUCCUAUUAAAUACUACUCCCUCCGUUUCAGAAUAAGUGAAUCGUUGGGGUAUUUAUUGAUAUUUCAAAAUAAGUGAAUCAUUGAAUUUUUUUUCAAAUUUACCCUUAUGAUUUGAUAAUCAAUUAAUUUUUGAAAAGGUAUUACAAGGUUAGUUUUUUCUUUUUUUAGGGGUAAAAAUGGGAAGUUGUGCUAAAUUUAUAUCUUUAAUGCUUUUUUUUUAAUUUGUGUGCCAAAAUUCAACAAUUCAUUUAUUAUGAAACGGAGGAGGGAGUAAGUUUUAAGUUUAAAAUUAUUCAUUUUCAAACUUGAUGUAGGAAAAAACAAGAGAAAAUACAUAAUUACCCCACUGAUGUUGGUCGAGAUUUGCAAAAAGACACCUAAACUUUAACUUCGACCUAUUACCCCACGAUUCUUCUUUAUUUCAUUGCAAACACACCAUUUUGAUCCCCUGCGUGUACAACGCUCCAUAGGUGCGUGAAAGGGCUCAAAUUUGUCUUUUUGACCAAUAAAAAGGUUCCACGUGUAAAUAAUAAAUAUAUAAUUUAUAUUUUUUUUAAACAAAAAAAUUUAAUAUUUAUUUAUUUAUUUAAAUCACCAUCCCCCUCCCCCUCCCCCAACCCACCCUUUCUUCUUCAACACCUUCAACACCAUUAAAGCUUCAUUGAAGCUUUUUUUUUUUUAAAUAUCAUUAAACCUCCAUUAAAGCUCAACACAAUGUCUUUUUCAACACCAUUAAAGCUCCAUUGGACGUCGGGGGAGGGGGUGCUAGAUGGGGUGGGGUGGGGGAAGAGGGGGUGGGGUGUUAAAUUAAAAAAAAGUAAAAUUUUAUUAAAAAAAUAAAAAAAAUAUAAAUUAAACGUAUUUGACACGUGUCACCACCUAAUUGGUGCGUGUGUUCACUCUCUUUGUUGUGACUGAGAUUCAGUGAAAAAUGGUGUGUUUGCAAUGGAUUAAGUAAGAAUCGGGGGUAGUAGGUCAAUUCAAAGUUUAGGUGUCUUUUUGAAAAUCUCGACCAAUAUCAGUGGGUAAUUAUGUAUUUUCUCAAAAAACAAAAAUAAUGUAAGUUUUGGGGGCAAAGAGUUAUUAAAAAAAAGUUACCUCUAUUUAAAGUGUUUUUUCUCUAAUUGGUGCCAUACAUACACCAUUCUCAGCUCUCAGCUCUCUCCUCUCUAGGUUAGGUUUUGGUUUGUCGAUUUGUUGUGAUGUUGUCCGAGCAACCGUCACCGCUGCGGCUGCCUCCGCCACUACGUCUACCACCACCACCUCCACAUCCGACACCAACUGAUAUCGGAAUCAUGACGGAUGAUUUCUCGAGUGAAUCAUUCGAAUACUCAUAUGUUUUGAGUGUUUCGGAUUCGGAGUUGGAAUCGGAGGUGAAGAAGCAAAAGCUUAAUGAUAAUGAGAAGGGGAAGACGAUGAUUCGAGCGACUCCAAAAAAAUUGGAUCCUUUACCAAUGACGCCUGAUAUGGAAGAUUCAGAUGAUCAAUUUGUGAUUGACGAUGAUGGCUGGAAGAAGUAUUCUCAACAGCUACGAGAAAGUGAGAAAAAGGUGAAAACUGCUGGAUAUAAAGACAUUAAUAUUCAUAGACUGUCUAAAGACCAAAUCGAAGAGCACAUAAAAAGGCAGCCAAUCACAUGCUUAAUUAAGUCUUAUAAAAGCCUUAAGAAUCACGUCGGACAGGUUUGAAUUAAUUUAUUCUAUCAAUUUUUCAAAAUAAUUGAAUGUUACUUACUGUUUAUGUUUACCAAAGCUGUAUAAAUUAGGGCGUUUAUAUGGGACCAACGGAUAGAGAGAGGAAAGUUUAGCCAAAGGUGAGAAGGACAGGACACACAACAUGCUUAGCGUUGGUUUUGGCAUGAACGAAGAUGGACAAGAUUAUUAUCUUGCUCAGAACAGUUGGGGGAAGGAUGGGGUACCAUGGCUAUGGUAAAAUCAAGUGUUCUUUGGUGUAUAAUCUACGGUAUCCAAUUGCAAAUGAUGAAAGAAUAGGUGGGUUUGACACUGACUGCUGCUUUUUGACUAUGACUUCCCGUACUUCAAUAAUCUUCGAUUAGAAUUUUGACGUCAGAAGACUCAUUCUAAAUGUCUUUCUUUUUUGUGUAUAUGUGAAUUGUGUAGCUUGCUAUUUGUUUUUGUCAACCCAAAGGAUUAUGCACUGUGUUUAAAACAAUUUUGUUGAUGCGCUUCUCUUAAAAAUGAUUUGAAGAAGAAAAAGAUCUUUUUUUUAACAGCAAAAUUUAGUCAUGUUGAUUAGGCAUCGAAAAGUCAGUAGGCAUUGUGUAAUUUUGCAGUGACACAUCCAAACCACUUGUUUCGCUCAAUGGGGCUGGCAUAGUGCAGCCUCUAGUUCAAAUGAAAGCAAUGUUAUCCAAGAACAAUAUUGGAAGCGCUUAAAGGAAAAGCCUAAGAGCUUAAGUGAGCAACGUUGUGAGUUUGCUUAUUUGGAUUCCAUUAGUAUUGAUACCAUGAUCUUCGAAGAUGGUGUCACUGAUUCAACAAUGUCCUUGGCUGAAUUGUCACAUAAAAUAAAAAUUAUUUCAUCCAACUUGCUUCUUUACUUGAUAUUAACUUCAUUUUUUUAAUUGGGUCUUGGGGACAUUUCCAAUUGGUGAUAUGAGAUUGUAUUACAAGCUGAAUCCAUCCAAUGUAGUGAAGAGUUCUCAUCUCUCAUUUGAUAAUGUCAAGGGUCAAGCUAUAAAUUAGGGUCUAUUGACAAAGUUUAUGCUCCCUCCUUCAGAAAUGUUGAACUUUCCGAACCUAUUUUAACUAAUGAUGCGAAGGCUGGAGCAAAUCAAAUUAGACAUUCCAGCAUUUGGAUCCUUUACCAAUGACGCCUGAUAUGAAAGAUCCAGAUGAUCAAUUUGUGAUUGAUGAUGAUGGCUGGAAGAAGUAUUCUCAACAGCUACGAGAAAGUGAGGUAUCUAAUGCUUUUCUCUAUGUUUAUUCUUCAUCAAAUAAUAAUAUUCAUGUUUACGCUCGUCAAUAUGGUUUAUAGCUCUGAACAGACUACUUAGGCAGAUUAUUAUUGGAUGUAUUGAGUUUAAUGAAACUCAGUGAGAAAUUUUUUGUUGGUUCUGUUUGUUGCUGCUGCUGAUUGUUCAGCCGAGGAUCCUUAUGGAACAAACUCUUCACACCACACCAAAAUACAUAAAUUUUAAAACUUUUCCCAAAUAGGUUCUAAUUUCUCAGUAAAUAUCUUUAUCGCAUUAGUUUGCUAACUCGAUAUAUAAUUUUUUCCAUUAAGCUGCUGGCAGGCUUUCUUUAUCAAUGGCAUUUGAAACUAUGUUAGAUAAAGGAUCUCGAGAAGGGUAUUAUGAAAAGAUAGUGAAGGAAGACAUUAAUGGAUAUCCUAACUUAACAUAAAAGAAGAUAUUAAAGUACUUCAAGAAAAGAGUUUAUAAUAGGCUUACUCUUGUUUUCUAGCUUUAACUUUUUUUUGUUUCUUUCGAAGGCAUCAUAUGGAUGCCAAAAAACAACAACAUCCAUUAAACAACAUGCCAAACGUGAGGUUUAAUCGCUCAACUCUGCUCCUCCAAUUGUUUUGCGAUUUCAACUUUACAAUCUCUAGGCCCUGAACUGAAGUGGUGUAAUUCUGUAGGAAGUGGCUUUUUACUAUAGCAAAUUAAUAGAAGAAAAGGGGGAAUUCGCCAAAAGUUUGAGAAAAAAUUGGAGCGUGCCAUUCAUCAAUAUUUUUGGAUUUAUAUCUCUAAUUAUUGUUGUUAGUACUGUUUGUUACUAUUAUACUAAUUGUGCAGCCGAGAGUAUCUACUAAACAAACACUUUACACCCCACCCCACCUACCUGUGGGAUUACACUAUGUUGUUGUUGUUGUUGUUGUUGUUGAAAAUAGGAAGAUUUAUCAACAUAGUUACCUAAGAAAAUAACACCUCAUAGGGAACUGAAUGGUGAUACCAAGUAUUAUAGUAUGGGAACUUUGGAAGAGAAGGAACACUAGCAAACAUGAAGGAAAGAAGGCAAGUUUUCAAAGAAUUCUGCAUAAUGUUGUUAGAACAGUGCAUAUGCUGUUAAAAGUCAGAAAUCCUAAAAGAAUUUUUACAGGCAAUUGGCCAAGAAUUCUUAGGGAAGUGGGAAGCAUAAAGCCGAUGAUGAAAUAUACUAAAGUUUAUUGGGAAUUUCCACCAAGAGGAUGGGUCAAGUACAAUACAGAUGGUGCAUCAAGAGGGUUUCAAGAGGCAACCCUGGGUUAAGCUCUUAUGCCUUUUGUUUAAGGGAUGAGCAUGGAGAUAUAAUUUAUGCAGAAGCGGCUAAAUUACAUGAGACAACAAACACAAUAACAGAAGCUUUAGCAGUAUUGAAGGCCACUACACAUUGCAAGCAAGCAGGAUAUAAUCAGGUAUUCAGUCAGACAGAUUCCAUGCUUAUUAAGAAAGUUUUAAGCAGAGAAGAAUAUUUACAGACAUUGUAGCAGAUAUCGAGGAGAACAUACAGGGCAAGCAAAUAAUUAUACAGCAUAUUUACAGAGAAGGAAAUAAAUUAGCAGAUUAUCUAGUUAAUCAUGCUCCAGACACAGCUAAUUGCAGAUACGAGCACUUCCACAUGUUGGAUUCAGCUGGAAGGAAAAUAGUCAACAGUGAUAAAUUAUAGAGCCCUUACUUAAGAGUUUCAUACAGCAAAGGAUAAAAGGGCAAAGAUGCUAAACGAAAAAGUGUGAAGCUUCCAUGCAAUUCACCAUGGUUUUACCUACACAAAGAAAGGGUAUGAUGUGCUUGCAGCAGGAGACAUAGAUGUAAAAGGUACGAGCUUACCCAGUGAUAUGAAACAGCAUCCAAUGAGCAAAACACAGAGUUGUGACCAUCGCCAUCCAGAGAACACAACUUCAAAGAUAAGAAUAGUACAUUUCACUGUUUUAAGGCUGGUACAGGAAUGAAUGAGAUUCAUUUACUCUUUAAAACUGUUGAAGUACAUGCUGAAGAAGACAGAGGGAUAACAUUGAUCAUCCAGUGCAAGAGAAGGACAAAAGUGGAGUUUAAUGAGGAGGCAACAUUGUACAGGAGAGGGGGAUGAUUUAGGAAAUAAGAAGGGCAAAAUGAGAAUUCUACUUUCUUUUACACGUAAGAGCAAGGAGGAUGUGGAAUUUGGCUUAAUAUUGGUCAGACGGAUAGAUUAGGAUUUUUAUCUAGUUUUUUUUUUUUUUCUUGGACAAUUAGUCCGAGUGUGUAAGCUACUACCUAAUUUUCAUUUGCAAUAAAGCCACAAAUUUGUUUAAAAAUAAAAUAAAAUUCUCAUGACAUUUCACAAUUCAA